AGUGAACGCUAGCGGUAGGCCUAACACAUGCAAGUCGAACGGCAGCACAGUAAGAGCUUGCUCUUACGGGUGGCGAGUGGCGGACGGGUGAGGAAUACAUCGGAAUCUACUUUUUCGUGGGGGAUAACGUAGGGAAACUUACGCUAAUACCGCAUACGACCUACGGGUGAAAGCAGGGGAUCUUCGGACCUUGCGCGAUUGAAUGAGCCGAUGUCGGAUUAGCUAGUUGGCGGGGUAAAGGCCCACCAAGGCGACGAUCCGUAGCUGGUCUGAGAGGAUGAUCGGCCCCCCGGAACUUGAGACACGGUCCGGCCUCCUACGGAGGGCGGAGUUGGGGAUUUUGGGCCAAUGGGCGCAGGCUGGUUCCGCCCUACCGGGGUGGUUGAGGAGGGCCUUCGGUUGGUAAGGCCCUUUUUUUGGAAAGAAAAGCAGCAGGUUAAUACCCCGCUGUUCUGACGGUACCCAAAGAAUAAGCACCGGCUAACUUCGUG
rnacentral:rRNA from 1 species